rnacentral:rRNA from 1 species
AGAGUUUGAUCCUGGCUCAGAGCGAACGCUGGCGGCAGGCUUAACACAUGCAAGUCGAGCGGGCGUAGCAAUACGUCAGCGGCAGACGGGUGAGUAACGCGUGGGAACGUACCUUUUGGUUCGGAACAACACAGGGAAACUUGUGCUAAUACCGGAUAAGCCCUUACGGGGAAAGAUUUAUCGCCGAAAGAUCGGCCCGCGUCUGAUUAGCUAGUUGGUGAGGUAACGGCUCACCAAGGCGACGAUCAGUAGCUGGUCUGAGAGGAUGAUCAGCCACAUCGGGACUGAGACACGGUCCGGACUCCUACGGGAGGCAGCAGUGGGGAAUAUUGGACAAUGGGGGAAACCCUGAUCCAGCGACGCCGCGUGUGUGAAGAAGGCCUGCGGGUUGUAAGGCACUUUUAGUGGGGACAAAAAGCCAUGGAUUAAUACUCUGUGGUCUUG